GAUGAAGAACGCAGCGAAAUGCGAUAAGUAGUGUGAAUUGCAGAAUUCAGUGAAUCAUCGAAUCUUUGAACGCACAUUGCGCCCUUUGGUAUUCCAAAGGGCAUGCCUGUUCGAGCGUCAUUUGUACCCUCAAGCUUUGCUUGGUGUUGGGCGUCUUGUCUCUAGCUUUGCUGGAGACUCGCCUUAAAGUAAUUGGCAGCCGGCCUACUGGUUUCGGAGCUCAGCACAAGUCGCACUCUCUAUCAGCAAAGGUCUAGCAUCCAUUAAGCCUUUUUUUCAACUUUUGACCUCGGAUCAGGUAGGGAUACCCGCUGAACUUAAGCAUAUCAAUAAGCGGAGG
rnacentral:misc_RNA from 1 species